rnacentral:rRNA from 1 species
AUUUAUCGGAGAGUUUGAUCCUGGCUCAGGACAAACGCUGGCGGCGUGCCUAAUACAUGCAAGUCGAGCGGACAGAUGGGAGCUUGCUCCCUGAUGUUAGCGGCGGACGGGUGAGUAACACGUGG